rnacentral:rRNA from 1 species
AUACGUAGGGGGCGAGCGUUGUCCGGAAUUACUGGGCGUAAAGGGUGCGUAGGUGGCACUUUAAGUUGGAUGUGAAAUCCCCGUGCUUAACAUGGGAGCUGCAUCCAAUACUGGAGAGCUAGAGUGCAGGAGAGGUAAGCGGAAUUCCUAGUGUAGCGGUGAAAUGCGUAGAUAUUAGGAGGAACACCAGUGGCGAAGGCGGCUUACUGGACUGUAACUGUCACUGAGGCACGAAAGCGUGGGGAGCAAACAGGAUUAGAUACCCUGGUAGUCCACGCUGUAAACGAUGAAUACUAGGUGUAGGGGGUAUCAACUCCCUCUGUGCCGCAGCAAACGCAAUAAGUAUUCCGCCUGGGAGUACGGCCGCAAGGUUGAAACUCAAAUGAAUUGACGGGG